GAUGGGUCAGUGGUUAGAGGCUGGUGGGAAUAGGUCUGGUCUUCCAUAUCAUCUUAAAUAGAGAGCACAGAGGCCCCUUUUCUGGAUCCAGGGCUCUGUCACUGCUGUCUGUGGAAUCAGGAUGCAGGAUGAGUACACAUGAGUAUGCUCAGGACAGCCCUGAAGCCCAGUUCCCCGCUCCCAGGGCAGCAACCUGGUGAAGAGUUAAAGGAAGUUCUCGGACUCUGCAGGGGUGAAGCCACGGGUGAUGUGUCACUCCACGCUUGAGCUGGGCCAGGCUAGGUCCAGGCAGGAAAAGGAGGAUUAGCCUGAGCCCCACCACCUGCCAUCCAGCCCCUCCCUCCUACUCUGAAGUGACACUCUACUCACAGAAGCGGAGCGGGACCCAGCCUCCUCAUCGGGGUCUUCUGCUUCUGUCUCACUGUAGCAGUCUAAGGUGGGGAGUUGGAGAACCACAGGUUGGGUUUGGAGAGCCAUGGAGUGGGCCAGGAGAUCUGAGUUCCUGCACGCAGCCUGGGGCACAGUAGGGACUCGGUGCUGCCUGGGCUUAUUUUCCCUCUGUGAUGUACUCACCUUCCUCUCUGGCAGAGGAGGGGGCCCGGCCUUGAGCCUGGUACUUGGAAAUGCAGGUAAUGAGAUGUCGCACCCACCUGUAGGAGAACAUGCAAGUCGUGAGGUUUCCAACCACUUUGGCCCACAAAGAUCUGAGCUUUAGCUACAUCUAUUUUUCUCCCCUGAACUUUUUGUCUGAUCCGAGAGCCCAAGCAUAAAGAGGCGCUUUCUACAUUAAGCUAUAUCUUCCACUUUCUUUCCUGUUUUCUUGAUGCAGUGUCUUACUAUAUUGCUCUGGUUGACCUGAAACUCACCAUGUAGCCCAGGCUAGCCUCCUAUUUGCAAUCCUCCUGCCUCAGCCUUUGUAAGUGAGGCUAAUUGAGGCUUACACUUUGUAAGUGUAAUUAGCAGAGUGAACCACCUUGUCCCAGAUCCACAGAACUGACACUCAGGGAGCAAAUGAGGUAGGACUGCUUCUUUGCCCAUUUUGCAGAUGAUGAAACUUGAGGCUUUCUGAGUGGGCCAGGGUUUGAGUCCUGUCCCCUGAGCUCACUCAGCUCUUGUGCUUGGUAGCUGGGGACUGCAUGGGAGUAGUGACAAGGAAGUGGCACUCACUUGCUCAGAUCAGACAGGGUCUCGGCAGCAAAGAUGAAGGGCUUGUACACAUCAUGGGUCAGCUGGAACACACUGCCAGGGGGCAGAAAGAAGUCACAGCCUCCUCCGGGCAUGCCCGUCCAGAAUCCAGAGAGAGGCUGGAUCAGAAAUUCCAGCUCCCUGCCACAUGUCCACACCACCUCCACCCUCCUCUCCCCCUUUCCCCCAAUCCCAUCUCAUUCCAAGACUUAACUAUUUUUUCUUCUGGUCAUGUCCACUCUCUAGGCUGUAGUUGGAGAGAUUGAUAAGCCCUUCGGCCUUUUCAUCCUGGGGGAUCACAACACGAGGGUCAGCAUGGAGCCCUGGGCCCUCAAGACUCGGCCAGCUCCCUAGUUAACCCCUCGGGUUCCUGGAGCUCAGGGCUGAAGAUCAAGGGGCACUUGUA
rnacentral:lncRNA from 1 species